ACCAAACCGAUACCCAAAUUUUUGUUCUCCUUCCCCAAACCCUAAACCUCUUCUUACACACCGCCUCUUUGUUCUCUAUUUCUCUCCCUCAUCUCUCUUCUCUACCCUUUCAACCUCUGAUUUGUUUUUCAAUCAAACCCGUUAAAACCCUAAACAUUAGAGUACUAAUUAGCCCAAUUACGUUCUUUUCUUUUCUAUUUUUUUUUUUUUUUUGUUGAAUCACUGCUAUGAUCUAAAUUAAUUCUUUGCUUCUUGCAUAUUUCAUUGACAGGUCAAUCACGUAGCCACUGAAUCAUCAUCACCAACAUUGAUCGUUCGUGCUAAUUUUUCUAUUAUAUACUAUCCUUUGUGAUGAAGCAGAGGGUAAAAGUGAAUGUUGCCCCAAAAUCUCCCGGUUCAAUUUCUCAAGAACUCCUUGGGAAACACCAUAGAAGAUCAAAUUCUACCUAUGCUUUGUCUCUUUGUGUUUUGAGGUACAGAGCUACAGCCAUGCUUAGCAUGCCAUCAACCUCAUUGAAAUUUAUGUUGCAUAAAGGAUAUAAGAAAGUUGUGUUGUUUUCACCUUGCAAUGGCAAAGACAAGAUUUAGCAAAAUAAGUACAGCCUCCAAAGUUUUAUUCAGCAUAAAUAUAAUCAGGAUGAGAUUUUGAUUGGUUUCUCAUGUCAGGUGGUUUCUUUUACCCAAAUUUGUGUUGUGGACUUUUAUUAUUGCCCAUAAUCCAUCCUAUGAUCCUUGCUUGACACUUGAGGUUAGAAGAAAAGGAGAGAGCCCCCCUUUUUAAAAUUUUUUAUUUAUUAUGUAGCUAUUUUCAACCAAACAAGACUUGGUUUUUGGGCAUUAAUUGUAAGGCCAUGAAAGUUCUUAAAUUGAAGGAUUUACAUUGGCAACUGCUUAUUCUUAACUUAAAUUUGUUAAGAUUCUCA